UGUUUAAUAAACCUUAAGAAAAACCAAAAAAAUUUAGUUGUAUGGUGGCCGUAACUAUAACGGUCCUAAGGUAGCGAAAUUCCUUGUCGGGUAAGUUCCGACCCGCACGAAA
rnacentral:rRNA from 1 species